rnacentral:SRP_RNA from 5 species
AGCUGGAUCCUACGCAACUAAGGGUUACAAACCCCGUCAGGUCCGGAAGGAAGCAGCGGUAGUAAUAUCUUAGUGUGCCGUAGGGUAAUCCAGCUAUC